GGGGAUUUAGCUCAGCGGCAUAAGCACCUGCCUUGAAAGCAGGCAGUCGUGAUUUCGAUCCCUG
rnacentral:tRNA from 1 species